GAUGGUGAAGAAAGGAAACCCCUGCCUACAACACUGUUCACCACUCCUCCUACAGAACAUGCAACCCUGGUAUCUUUACAACAUGACUGUGUGGGGGGGCAGGAACCAUUGCUAAGGUGAAUAGAGCAUGAAGACGUGAGCUGAACAAACAAAACCUAGCUGCUGAAGGAAGUGUUUCUUGAUGAUUCAGCUAGGUGACUAUUGGAUAGAUGAAGGGGAGUGAACUGAGAGUUUGAGGAUGCCUUCCCAUUCCAGCUGAGGAGCAAACAGAAAGAACCGCAACCUGGAAACAUCACCC